UAUAAUUAUAACUUAAGAAUGUUAAUUUGAUUAGUGAUUCACUCAUCAAUCAUCACUAAUCCAAGAUUAUUACUAAGAAUUCAAGAUUCUUAGUAAGAAUCUUAUAAUUAUAACUUAAGAAUGUUAAUUUGAUUAGUGAUUCACUCAUCAAUCAUCACUAAUCCAAUAUUAUUACUAAGAAUUCAAGAUUCUUAGUAAGAAUCUUAUAAUUAUAACUUAAGAAUGUUAAUUUGAUUAGUGAUUCAUUCAUCAAUCAACACUAAGGUUAUGAAUGAUGUAUAAACUAGAUUGAUAAAAAAAAAAUUGAAAAUUAAUAAUAAAUUAAUUAAUAAAUAUUUUUCCGACAUAAAAAUAAGAACGGAAACGAGCCCAAUCCGUAAUUAACAACAUUUUUUGUAUAUCAUCUCGACAUAUUCUAAGGUUAUGAAUAUAUAUGAUAUUGUAUAUUGAAGUAGACUUUAAAUGAAUUAAUAGAUACUAUAUAUAUCAAUAAUACGAGUGUUCUGUACUGGUG
rnacentral:lncRNA from 1 species